UACGGGGGGGGCAAGCGUUGUUCGGAAUUACUGGGCGUAAAGGGUGUGUAGGCGGUUGUUUAAGUUUGGUGUGAAAUCUCCCGGCUCAACUGGGAGGGUGCGCCGAAUACUGAAUGACUAGAGUGUGGGAGAGGUGAGUGGAAUUCCUGGUGUAGCGGUGAAAUGCGUAGAUAUCAGGAGGAACACCGGUGGUGUAGACGGCUCACUGGACCAUAACUGACGCUGAGACACGAAAGCGUGGGUAGCAAACAGG
rnacentral:rRNA from 1 species